UCCAGACUCCUACGGGAGGCAGCAGUGAGGAAUAUUGGUCAAUGGGCGCGAGCCUGAACCAGCCAAGUCGCGUGAGGGAUGACGGUCCUACGGAUUGUAAACCUCUUUUGCCGGGGAGCAAGCGUGCGUUCGUGAACGCGCGUCGAGAGUACCCGGAGAAAAAGCAUCGGCUAACUCCGUGCCAGCAGCCGCGGUAAUACGGAGGAUGCGAGCGUUAUCCGGAUUUAUUGGGUUUAAAGGGUGCGCAGGCGGAGGUGCAAGUCAGCGGUCAAAUUGCGGGGCUCAACCCCGUACUGCCGUUGAAACUGCAUCCCUUGAGUGCGCGAGAAGUAUGCGGAAUGCGUGGUGUAGCGGUGAAAUGCAUAGAUAUCACGCAGAACUCCGAUUGCGAAGGCAGCAUACCGGCGCGCAACUGACGCUCAUGCACGAAAGCGUGGGUAUCGAACAGGAUUAGAUACCCGUGUA
rnacentral:rRNA from 1 species